CGCUGGCGGCGUGCUUUAGACAUGCAAGUCGAACGAGAUCUUCGGAUCUAGUGGCGAACGGCGGAGUAAUACAUAAACAACGUGCCCUGAAGACUGGGAUAUACGGUCGAAAGGCCGAGCAAUACCGGAUGUGGCCGAGACUAGGCAUCUAGACUCGAUUAAAUGGUUUUUCGCUUCAGGAGCGGUUUAUGACUCAUCAGCUAGUUGGUAGGGUAAUGGCCUACCAAGGCUACGACGGGUAGGGGGUCUGAGAGGAUGAUCCCCCCGAGUGGGACCGAGACACGGCCCACACACCUACGGGUGGCAGCAGUUUGGAAUCUUGCCCAAUGGGGGAAACCCUGAGGCAGCGACGCCGCGUGGAGGAUGAAGGAUUUAGGUCUGUAAACUCCUUUUGCCAGGAAAGACUUAGGACGGUACCUGGCGAAUAAGCUCCGGCUAACUACGUG
rnacentral:rRNA from 1 species